GAUGAACGCUGGCGGCGUGCUUAACACAUGCAAGUCGAACGGUGAAGCCAAGCUUGCUUGGUGGAUCAGUGGCGAACGGGUGAGUAACACGUGAGCAACCUGCCCUGGACUCUGGGAUAAGCGCUGGAAACGGUGUCUAAUACUGGAUAUGAGCUCUUUCCGCAUGGUGGGGGUUGGAAAGAUUUUUCGGUCUGGGAUGGGCUCGCAGCCUAUCAGCUUGUUGGUGAGGUAAUGGCUCACCAAGGCGUCGACGGGUAGCCGGCCUGAGAGGGUGACCGGCCACACUGGGACUGAGACACGGCCCAGACUCCUACGGGAGGCAGCAGUGGAGAAUAUUGCACAAUGGGCGGAGGCCUGAUGCAGCAACGCCGCGUGAGGGAUGACGGCCUUCGGGUUGUAAACCUCUUUUAGCAGGGAAGAAGCUUUUGUGACGGUACCUGCAGAAAAAGCGCCGGCUAACUACGUGCCAGCAGCCGCAGUAA
rnacentral:rRNA from 1 species